rnacentral:rRNA from 1 species
GAUGAACGCUGGCGGCGUGCCUAAUACAUGCAAGUCGAGCGAACAGACGAGGAGCUUGCUCCUCUGACGUUAGCGGCGGACGGGUGAGUAACACGUGGAUAACCUACCUAUAAGACUGGGAUAACUUCGGGAAACCGGAGCUAAUACCGGAUCAUAUAUUGAACCGCAUGGUUCAAUAGUGAAAGACGGCUUUGCUGUCACUUAUAGAUGGAUCCGCGCCGCAUUAGCUAGUUGGUAAGGUAACGGCUUACCAAGGCAACGAUGCGUAGCCGACCUGAGAGGGUGAUCGGCCACACUGGAACUGAGACACGGUCCAGACUCCUACGGGAGGCAGCAGUAGGGAAUCUUGCGCAAUGGGCGAAAGCCUGACGGAGCCACGCCGCGUGAGUGAUGAAGGUCUUCGGGUCGUAAAACUCUGUUAUUAGGGAAGAACAAAUGUGUAAGUAACUAUGCACGUCUUGACGGUACCUAAACAGAAAGCCACGGCUAACUACGUG